rnacentral:rRNA from 1 species
AUUGAACGCUGGCGGCAUGCCUUACACAUGCAAGUCGAACGGCAGCACGGGUGCUUGCACCUGGUGGCGAGUGGCGAACGGGUGAGUAAUACAUCGGAACGUACCUUAUCGUGGGGGAUAACGCAGCGAAAGCUGUGCUAAUACCGCAUACGCCCUGAGGGGGAAAGCGGGGGAUCGCAAGACCUCGCGCGAUUAGAGCGGCCGAUGCCUGAUUAGCUAGUUGGAGGGGUAAAAGCCCACCAAGGCGACGAUCAGUAGCUGGUCUGAGAGGACGAUCAGCCACACUGGGACUGAGACACGGCCCAGACUCUUACGGGAGGCAGCAGUGGGGAAUUUUGGACAAUGGGGGCAACCCUGAUCCAGCAAUGCCGCGUGAGUGAAGAAGGCCUUCGGGUUGUAAAGCUCUUUUGUCAGGGAAGAAACACCGGCUCUAACACAGUCCGGGAAUGACGGUACCUGAAGAAUAAGCACCGGCUAACUACGUGCCAGCCGCCGCGGUAA